rnacentral:rRNA from 1 species
CACGUAGGCGGCCUGGCAAGUCAGGUGUGAAAGCCCUCGGCUCAACCGAGGAAUUGCACCUGAAACUGCCGGGCUAGAGUCCGGGAGAGGAGAGUGGAAUUCCCAGUGUAGCGGUGAAAUGCGUAGAUAUUGGGAGGAACACCUGUGGCGAAGGCGGCUCUCUGGACCGGUACUGACGCUGAGGUGCGAAAGCGUGGGGAGCAAACA